UGUAAUUAGUUUAUUUUUUUAUCUACAUUUAAUGUUCUAUGCAUAUUUCCAAAGAUUCGAUGGGAUUGAUGAAAAUUUUUUGGGUGGAAACUAAACAGGGUCUUAAGCGAAUAGGACCAAAUCGUGCCAAGCAUGCAUUCGUCCUCUACAAGCUGACACGGCCUCGUGGGAUCCGAUCCUCUGAAAUUCGUGCUGCUUCACUUCUCUCAACUAUGUUUACACUUCUCUCCACUGUUUCACACAUCUCGAUACAUAUUCGACGGUGUAGAUAAGCAAUGCCUAGCAUGCAGAUCCAAAAAAACUGUCUUCUAAUUUCAGCGCAGCCAUACACACCGUUACCUUUUCUGCUGUUUUUCUUAAGAUUCUUUCUGUUCCUAAUUUGUCUGCGUCAUAUGCUUGUCACAAAUAUAGACUCUGUUUGGUUCUUUUUGUUAAAUUUUGACUAGCUAAAACUAUUUUAGCUUUCAAUGACUAGUGAGACUAAACUAUUUUAGCUCUUCUUAGUUAGUGUGUUUAAAAAUUUAUUACUAAAGUUUUGAAAAUUUAGCUGGCUAAAAUUUAGUAAGGAGAACCAAACAAGCCUAUAGUAGCACGUACCACAAAGUCCAAAGCUUUGCCAAAACGUGCACGAGCCAGCCGAUGUUAUGUUCGAACCAUGGGAAAUUGUCGUGUCAGAUAGUAUAUGGUUUCUACUUUCUAUUAGUAUACAUUCUAAUGUUCCCACAUGGUGCUGUGUUUUUUUUUUGAAGAAUGCUCCAUAUAGUGUUUCUCCCUAAAACAUUGACAAGUCGAGAGGGCGGUGUCCGGAUUAGAGUAUGAGUGUGAAACAUGAGGCAAAAUUGAAACAAAAUUUAGAUGAAACUUUCAGAUUUUUUUAGAAAAUUUGGUGCUGGGUCUCACGUCAUAUACUAUGUGUCAAAUCUUUUUAAAACCGUGCAUUUUAUCUUCCUGGAAAGUCCGCUUUUCCUCUCUCAACUCCAAAACCGGGCAAACCACCUACCUCAACUUUUUAAACCGUGCAUUUUAACUUCCUGGAGUGGUUUCGAAUGCGGUUUUGCUACAACGAAUAAUUAUUUUGCUACAGUGACAAUGGUUUUGUUUUUUAUUUUUUAAUUAUUUUGGUUGAAUCUUUAAAAAUCAUAGUAAAUCACAAAAAAUCAUAAAAUAGAAAAUCCAAUUUUGUUGGAUUCCACAUAAGUAGAUCUACACAAUGUACAUAUAAUAUGAUAUGCUUUAGUACAAAGUUUUUGCUAUAAAGAUUUUGUCUUUUUCUUUUUUAUUUAUUUUGGCUAAAUAUUUGAAAAUCAUAGUAAAUUAUAGAAAAAUCAUAAAAUCUAAAAUAUAAUUCUGUUGUACUCCACAUG
rnacentral:lncRNA from 1 species